rnacentral:lncRNA from 1 species
CAUCUUUUCGCGUGAUCUUAUUAAGGCGCCUAUAAUCAAUGCAGAAUCUGAUGCUGCCGUCCUUUUUUUUGCACCAGUACAACCGGGGAGGCCCAAGGUCUGUGUGAAGGUUGUAUUACGCCACGUUGAAGCAUAUCGUUUGUUUUUAUUUGA